rnacentral:rRNA from 1 species
CCUACGGGAGGCAGCAGUAAGGAAUAUUGGGCAAUGGACGCAAGUCUGACCCAGCCAUGCCGCGUGAAGGAUGAAGGUCCUCUGGAUUGUAAACUUCUUUUAUCUGGGGCGAAAACGACCCUUUCUAGGGUUCUUGACAGUACCAGAGGAAUAAGCACCGGCUAACUCCGUGCCAGCAGCCGCGGUAAU